rnacentral:rRNA from 1 species
GGAUCCCAUCAGAACUCCACAGUUAAGCGUGCUUGGGCGAGAGUAGUACUAGGAUGGGUGACCUCCUGGGAAGUCCUCGUGUUGCACCCCUC